CUCGGUGGAAAACAAAUGGAGAUGGUUUAAGAAUUCGAUUGGAGCACUUGAUGGGAUACAUAUUCCAGUAACAGUUUCUGCAGAAGAUAGACCUAGAUAUCGUAAUA